GCCUCAUGAUGUGGACACUUAUGAAGUAGGUCCCUGAAAUGCUCCCAACUCUCAAAGAAAAGUUCCCCAUUCAUUUGUGUGAAACUUUUGAUUUCACUUCGCAAUU